CUUUAGUGGCGAACGGGUGCGUAAUACGUGAGAAUCUGCCCUUAGGAGAAGAAUAACUGCUGGAAACGGCUGCUAAAUCUUCAUAUGUCGAGAGAUGAAAUAGCUUAGGCUGCCUAAGGAUGAGCUCACGCCUGACUAGCUAGUUGGUGAGGUAAUGGCUCACCAAGGCCACGAUCAGUAGCUGGUUUGAGAGAACGAUCAGCCACACUGGGACUGAGACACGGCCCAGACUCCUCCGGGAGGCAGCAGUGAGGAACUUUCCGCAAUGGGCGAAAGCCUGACGGAGCAAUACCGCGUGAGGGAUGAAGGAUUUUGGUCUGUAAACCUCUUUUCUCAAGAAAGAAGUUCUGACGGUACUUGAGGAAUAAGCAUCGGCUAACUCCGUGCCAGCAGCCGCGGUAAUACGGGGGAUGCAAGCGUUAUCCGGAAUCAUUGGGCGUAAAGCGCCUGUAGGUUGUUUAAUAAGUCUGUUGUUAAAGAUUAGGGCUUAACCCUAGAAAAGCAAUGGAAACUACUAGACUA
rnacentral:rRNA from 1 species